rnacentral:misc_RNA from 1 species
GAAAUGCGAUAAGUAAUGUGAAUUGCAGAAUUCAGUGAAUCAUCGAAUCUUUGAACGCACCUUGCGCUCCUUGGUAUUCCUUGGAGCAUGCCUGUUUGAGUAUCAUGAAAUCUUCAAAGUAAAUCUUUUGUUAACUCAAUUGGUUUCUACUUUGGUAUUGGAGGUCUUUGCAGCUUCACACCUGCUCCUCUUUGUUCAUUAGCUGGAUCUCAGUGUUAUGCUUGGUUCCACUCGGCGUGAUAAGUUAUCUAUCGCUGAGGACACUGUAAAAGGUGGCCAAGAUAAAUGCAGAUGAACCGCUUCUAAUAGUCCAUUGACUUGGACAAUACUUUUAUGAUCUGAUCUCAAAUCAGGUAGGACUACCCGCUGAGCUUAAGC